AGAAGGAAGUGGGUGACGUGGCAAGAUCACGCCCAUGUACAUAAUUAUUGCCUGGACAGGAGCUUCUUAAAUUAACUAAAGCUCCAGUCCUGAAUAAUUUUUAAUUUAUUUCCCAAAAACUCUACAAGCUGUAAAUUUUCCAAAAAUAUAACAAUUUAAGUGGAAGGAUGGAGUUAAAAUGCAGAUUCAUGGCUCUUCUGACUUCAGUCGAUGCGACCACGCCCAACAUGGUCCUGCAUAUUUCAGAUCCUUUAUAUAAAUUGGGCAGGAAGUUGUAGUAACCGGGAUCUGAUAAAAUUAUUUCGUCUAAAUGUCUUCAGAUCGGUUAAGAAGAUCGACUAAGCAUCUCUUCUGAUCCUUCCACAUUUUUGCCGGAAAUCAGGUCGUAUAGCGGUCGUCACCUUCCUCCUCGUUAACCUGCUAUCUCCAUGAAGUUAAGACAAGUACAAUUUAUGUACCUGGAAUUAUGGCACGCAUGUAGGCAUAUAUGGACCUAAGUACUUUAAAAGGUAUACAAAUUUCGCAGUCUUUCUACAGAAUUUUUUGCUAUUAAGUAUGUAUCCUACUUAGCAGGACACCUUAGUAACAAAUUUUUAAAAUCACUCUUUCGCAUGUCAGUCUGGUUCAAGUGCCGGGGGAUUGGAACUUAGUACCUGGGA